AAUUUUUUUUUUUCCAGGGCCCAUAUCUACGAACCCAAAGGACGACGAACUGAAACUUGAGGAGGAAGAAGACCUUCUUCUUGUGUCUGAUCGAAGAAACCAGCAAUGGAUUCGUGUUCGUGAUUUGAGCCACGCCACGCUUACUUUGAUUUCAAUCAUCACACUCUUCGCCUCUCACUUUUCUCCCUAAGGGUUCCCCACAAUGAUGUCCCCGAACCGCGUCUCAGAGGAUCGGGGCUCCCCACCUCAUAAUUUCAGACACACACCCUUGCAGAUAAUUCAUAUUGUUGCAAAUUUCAUGAGAAUAUGGUCAAUAUAUUCCAUGUACCGCUACUUCUUGCAGACCGGUGCUUCUGUUGUUCUUUUCCUGUUUGCCUGCCUGGCCCCAGCAUCCGUCCUAUUUUUGAUUUUGCAAAAGCCUUGGAAGGGCAGACCUCUUUCAAAUACGCAGGUUGUCCCUUCUAUAAUAAAUGGUGGUAUAACAGCACUGUAUCUGGUCUUGUGGGGAAAGGGACUGAAAUCAUGUGGACCAGUUAGAGCAAUAUUGGCCGAGUAUUCUGGUGCUGUCCUUGGAGUACUGUCUGCAGUAUUAUAUGGUAGAAGAAGCCAUAUGUGGAAAAAGAUAGGUGGCCUAAUUGCCAUGUUGGCAUCCUUAUACUUGUUAUCAGAAGGAUGGGCUACAGCUACAUAUUCUCCAUUCUCAUGGGAAGAUAGAGAUGAUUCUGAGGCUCAGAUUCAGACUGAACCAGGUUUGGGCUUGAAGCAAAUGUUAGUCCCUAUAAUUGCUGGUAUUCUAUCUGCACUCAGGAGAGUGAUUGCAAGACGUGUUUCAAUCAAGAAUCAACUUAAAAGGCGGCUCCAUGCUUUAACUAUUGCUUCUGCGACAUGUUUUAUGUUUCCCAUUGCCAUGUGGGACAUGAUCAUAGGAUCGCCAUCUGAAUCUGAUAGCAAUCAGAAGUUGCCGUUCUCUGCUUGGGCUUUCUUGAGCACUAUUCUGUUUGGAAAUAUUGUGAUAUUCUAUGCUGACAGUAUUGCAGAGGAGAGGUAUGCCAUGAAUGCCGAUAGUCUUGCCAAGAUUGCACAUGGUUUUCUCCUCACCAAGGCAUUUAGCAGCAGCUGGUGCGUGCAUCAUCACAAUGGAGAUUGUGUACAAGAUGGAUUUUUCUCUCACAGGAUUCAUGAUUUGCUGUUUAAUAUUAGGUUUUGGAAUACAUGAAGCAACUUCAUUGGAGCGCAAUAGAAAAGAUUCUAUCCGAAAUUCAGAUUUAUCAAAUGGAGAAUUUGAUAAUCAAAUCCAGAUGUCACCACUACCUACUUGAAUUGCAGACAGGCUGUAUCCGCUGUGAAGAUGUGUUAUCCACCACUUUUGUGAAGCUCCAGCAUCUACUUUGCUAUACACCAAAUUCUUCGUGAUUGAUCUGAUCUGAUCUUUGGGGGGUUGAGAAGCACUUUUAACCUAUCAAGUUCAUUAUUUUGCUUCCUACAGGAUCAUUACUGGUAUUGUAGUUUAUUGUGUAGUUUAGGAGUAAUUCUCUAUCAUGAAAAAAAGAAGCAGCAUUAUUCGUGGUCGUGGUAGAAGUUAUUUGAAUCUUGUUGUUAUAAUUGAAUCACCUACAUGAGCUAACUACACAUUGUAAUGAAAUUAUUGAAUAUGCCAAACUGUUGGUUAUUCUUUGUAUAUUAUUUUCCCCUUUCUCUUUC